rnacentral:rRNA from 1 species
GACGAACGCUGGCGGCAAGCUUAACACAUGCAAGUCGAACGCUGUAGCAAUACGGAGUGGCAGACGGGUGAGUAACACGUGGGAACGUGCCUUUCGGUUCGGAACAACUGAGGGAAACUUCAGCUAAAACCGGAUACGCCCUUCGGGGGAAAGUUUACGCCGAAAGAUCGGCCCGCGUCAGAUUUGGUAGUUGGCGGGGUAAUGGCCCACCAAGCCGAUGAUCUGUAGCUGUUCUGAGAGGAAGAUCAGCCACACUGGGACUGAGACACAGCCCAGACUCCUACGGGAGGCAGCAGUGGGGAAUAUUGGACAAUGGGCGCAAGCCUGAUCCAGCUAUGCCGCGUGGAUGAAGAAGGCCUUCGGGUUGUAAAGUCCUUUCGGCGGGGAAGAUAAUGACGGUACCCGCAGAAGAAGCCCCGGCUAAUUUCGUGCCAGCAGCCGCCGUAAGAC